UACGUAGGGUGCGAGCGUUAAUCGGAAUUACUGGGCGUAAAGGGUGCGCAGGCGGCCGAGCAAGUCGAGUGUGAAAGCCCCGAGCUUAACUCGGGAACUGCGCUCGAAACUACUUGGCUAGAGUGUGGCAGAGGGAGGUGGAAUUCCACGUGUAGCGGUGAAAUGCGUAGAGAUGUGGAGGAACACCGAUGGCGAAGGCAGCCUCCUGGGCCAACACUGACGCUCAUGCACGAAAGCGUGGGGAGCAAACAGG
rnacentral:rRNA from 1 species